CGGACGGGUGAGUAACGCGUGGAUAACCUGCCUCACACUGGGGGAUAACAGUUAGAAAUGACUGCUAAUACCGCAUAAGCGCACAGUACCGCAUGGUACAGUGUGAAAAACUCCGGUGGUGUGAGAUGGAUCCGCGUCCGAUUAGCCAGUUGGCGGGGUAACGGCCCACCAAAGCGACGAUCAGUAGCCGACCUGAGAGGGUGACCGGCCACAUUGGGACUGAGACACGGCCCAA
rnacentral:rRNA from 1 species